rnacentral:rRNA from 1 species
AGUCACUGACAUUAGAUACCCGCGUAGUCCAGGGUGUAAACGCUGCAGACUUGGUGUUGGAGGCCCUUUGGGGGCAUUCAGUGCCGGAGAGAAGUUGUUAAGUCUGCUACUUGGGGAGUACGUCCGCAAGGAUGAAACUUAAAGGAAUUGGCGGGGGAGCACCGCAACGGGAGGAGCGUGCGGUUUAAUUGGAUUCAACACCGUAAACUCACCAGGGAAGACUGUUACAUGAAGGCCGAGAUGAAGACUCUGCCAGAUUUUCAG